AGGUAUUGAAAUAAGGUUUUAAUUGAAUGCUAAAAGAAUGGAAUAUCAAAGAAUAACUUUCUUAAAAUUAAAAAUUGAAAUUUUUUUAAUUUGUGUAAAAACAAUUAUAAAAAUUAAAGACAAGAAGACCCUAAGAAUUUUUAAAAUUUAAAUUAAUACAUUUUUGUUUUAAUUAAAUUUUAACUGGGGCGGUUAAAAAAUAUUAAAAACUUUUUAAUUUUGAAAAUG
rnacentral:rRNA from 1 species